rnacentral:rRNA from 1 species
AGAGUUUGAUCCUGGCUCAGGAUGAACGCUAGCGGCAGGCCUAAUACAUGCAAGUCGAACGGCAGCGGGUCCAGCAAUGGAUGCCGGCGAGUGGCGCACGGGUGCGUAACACGUAUGCAAUCUACCUGUAACCUGGGGAUAGCCCGGAGAAAUCCGGAUUAAUACCCAAUGAUAUCAUUUGAGGGCAUCUGAAGAUGAUUAAAGAUUUAUUGGUUACGGAUGAGCAUGCGUCUGAUUAGUUAGUUGGUAGGGUAACGGCCUACCAAGACGAUGAUCAGUAGGGGACCUGAGAGGGUGAUCCCCCACACUGGUACUGAGAUACGGACCAGACUCCUACGGGAGGCAGCAGUAGGGAAUAUUGGGCAAUGGACGAGAGUCUGACCCAGCCAUGCCGCGUGCAGGAAGAAGGCGUUAUGCGUUGUAAACUGCUUUUGAUCGGGAACAAAAAGUCCAUGCGUGGAUAGAUGAGUGUACCGAUAGAAUAAGCACCGGCUAACUCCGUGCCAGCAGCCGCGGUAAUACGGAGGGUGCAAGCGUUGUCCGGAUUUAUUGGGUUUAAAGGGUGCGUAGGCGGUCAACUAAGUCAGUGGUGAAAGGCAGCAGCUCAACUGUUAGCAUUGCCAUUGAUACUGGAUGACUUGAGUACAGACGAGGUAGGCGGAAUUUAUGGUAGCGGUGAAAUGCAUAGAUACCAUAAAGAACACCGAUUGCGAAGGCAGCUUACUAGGCUGUAACUGACGCUGAGGCACGAAAGCGUGGGGAUCGAACAGGAUUAGAUACCCUAGUAGUCC